UUCUUGAAAUUUAUAAACUUUCGACAUUCAAUCUCUAUUCCAUAUUUUAUUCUUUAUUUUUGUCUUUUUUUGGCCAAUUGUUUAUAGAGUACCCCUUACAUGAGUGGACGGGGCAGCAUUUAAGAAGGAUGCCAAUAACAAUUAGGAUAACAAAUGGCAUAUAGUGAAACACAUCUUUCAUUUAGAAAAUGGGUACUUUCUUCCAAAUACUGCAGAAAAGAUGCUAAAAUCGAAAACAAGGGCUUACAUAUUCCUAGAGCCCACUUUCCUUGAUACCCAUCACUAUUUUACAUUUUGCUAAGGGAAUCGUUUGCGAUACGCAGAAAGCACCUCCCGAGAUCCUAUGAAAUAUAUAUGUUUUUGAUCAACGUUAAAAAGUGAAUCAAUGACCAUCUGUCCGUCUGCGUAAUGGCUGCUGUAAAUAUUAUCCUGGUCGUAAUAAUGAAACUGGUAAUUGGAGUUCGCUACAAAAAUUGAAACUCUUGCACAAAACAAAAAAUUUGAAAUUUUGCUCAUCACUCUGAAGCAGAAGCAGAUGAUGCUAACAAAGUUGCAGGUCUAUUGUAUGAAUGAUUCUACUGUGCCUAUACCAAAAUGAAAAAAAUUGCAUGCGACGAGCUAGACUGGAGUACCGUUGCGCCCCUGAACGUUCUUAUACUCAUUACGUUCUUUCAGUGUACUGUAUCUAUGCUUAAUAGUUAGAGAAUCUUUAAAGUUUCCCAGUUAUUUUAUUAAUUUUUGUGUUACUUUGCGGUAACUCAUAAGUUGGUAAAUAUAUUUUAGCAAAGGCACAAACCUCAAGGCAUGUGAGCUAUCAUGGUGGGUUAUAUUCAUUUUGUUAACAUGUGAGUAGAGAAUUUAAAACUGGGAUGUAGUCACUUAUCUGAAAGUUGGCUUUUCGUUUGCUGGUUGGUUUCGAUUCGACUAUCUGUCUGCAUGCAGCAUUGCUUGAUGACUAUCCGUUUUUUUGGGAUCACGUAGGCGAAACAGCAGUCUCUCCCAUACUUGUCAAAUUAUUCGAAAGCAAAACAGGUUACGUUUUGCGUUAGUAUUGGUUAUUUUAAGUUAUUUUGUAGUUGUUUUGAGUUGCAUUUAUAAGAGAAAGCUGUUUGCAAAAUAAGUUCUAUGGUCUGUUAAUUUGCACUUUUUUCGUUUUUCGGGCCCAGGUUGGGACCGACUUGACUUGCCUUGACUUUAUAAAGGUUAUAAUAUUACGAAAGCCUUUGACGUCAUUUUACUUUACAUAGUUAUUAUAUGCAUACCAAUGCCUUGUACGUUAAGCCAGCGACGAAAUUUUUUGUAGUAUCAUUGCCAAAAUACACGCGAUCACAUUUAUAAUGAUUACGUUCAUAAAUUUUACGCAGGUAAAGUACGAACACGUGUUAGUCCUUUUUUUUUAAGGAAUUUACUUUCAAACACGAAUUUAUUUGACAAACGUCGAGUAUCAGAAGCCCAGACUAAACCAAUUAAUUGUUUAUUUUUCCUGCUUUAUACGCGUAUAUCCGUAUUAUACAGCUGCUUUUAAUAGCACACCAUGCUAUGCGCACAGUGACGAAAUAUUCUACCAUUUAAAGGAUUAACGUUGCCUUUUUUAUUUUAAAAAAAAUUCGACUGUUCAGAUAUGCCCUUCCUUCGUUAUAAGUACCGUUAUCAGUUGAAAUUUAUUUUUAUUUUUUCUUAUUUUAUUUAAUUUCAUAUUUUGCAAUAUUUUAUUUACAUUUUUGUUUCAUUAUAAAUAUUCAAACACUCUAAAAUUACCGCCCUGAUACAUUGACCACAUUUCCUUUCCAGAUUUACAAUUCGAAAAGCCUAAUUCACUUUCAAAUGUUAUUUUCCAAUUUUCUUAAUCCCGAAAAUGGAGCUACACUUUUGUUACAAAAGAAUAGACUAAUUUGCUGUCUUGUUAACCGACUAUCGCAUCAUUAACUUUCUUUAUAUCUUCUUUGUACAACCGGAAAAUAAAAGCAACACAAAUUUUCAACAUGUUUCAAUAUCAAGCUCUCUAGCAUCGCUCGCUGCUAUAACCAAACGAACGCUCUUGUUCGCAGCAGACAUUCUUUUCUUCUUUAUUCGCAGGCAUACUUCAGGCACACAAAUUUUUUCUCUUCCUUUCAUCCGAUUAGUAAGGUCGUUGUUGAAUUUAACAACCUCUCUACAUAUUAUAUUUGUAACAAACCUUUCGAAACAACAAUCAAUUGUUACAAGUUGUAAAUUGAAAACAAAGUGAAUUCCAAACAAAACUGUUUACUUACAGACAGCUGAACGAAGCCAAAAAAUUAAAAAAACAAAUUAACAAGCAAAGAAACAAAAGCAAACUAAACCGAAAAUUAAUCGCUAAAAAAUGUUGAGUUAAUCAUACAAAUAGAAAUUUGAAAGAAGAAAAAUUUAUUCCCUUAAAGUUUUUUAAAAUUUUUUUGGGUGGAUCUAUAACCCACAUUCCUUAUUAGCCUAGCAAAACAAAAAGAGUUUAAAUUUGUGAAAGAUAAUUAAUAUAUUGUUGAAUGUUAAUAAAAAACCAUAUAUAAUAUAUAAAUAUUAGGCAGAGUGCUUCGACAAAUCAUUUUAUACCAUUUGUUGGAAAAGGAUCGAAGGUAACGACAGAAAAUUUUUAUGAGA